UACGUAGGUGGCAAGCGUUAUCCGGAAUUAUUGGGCGUAAAGCGCGCGCAGGCGGUUUCUUAAGUCUGAUGUGAAAGCCCACGGCUCAACCGUGGAGGGUCAUUGGAAACUGGGGAACUUGAGUGCAGAAGAGAAAAGCGGAAUUCCACGUGUAGCGGUGAAAUGCGUAGAGAUGCGGCGGAACACCGAUGGCGAAGGCAGCCCCCUGGGCUGAGAUUGACGCUCGAGGCACGAAAGCGUGGGGAGCAAA
rnacentral:rRNA from 1 species